rnacentral:rRNA from 1 species
CCUACGGGAGGCUGCAGUGGGGAAUAUUGGACAAUGGGGGGAACCCUGAUCCAGCCAUGCCGCGUGUGUGAAGAAGGCCCUCGGGUUGUAAAGCACUUUCAGUGAGGAAGAACGCCUGGUGGUUAAUACCCAUCAGGAAAGACAUCACUCACAGAAGAAGCACCGGCUAACUCCGUGCCAGCAGCCGCGGUAAUACGGAGGGUGCGAGCGUUAAUCGGAAUUACUGGGCGUAAAGCGCGCGUAGGUGGCUUGAUAAGCCGGUUGUGAAAGCCCCGGGCUCAACCUGGGAACGGCAUCCGGAACUGUCGAGAUAGAGUGCAGGAGAGGAAGGUAGAGUUCCCGGUGUAGCGGUGAAAUGCGUAGAGAUCGGGAGGAAUACCAGUGGCGAAGGCGGCCUACUGGACUGACACUGCCACUGAGGUGCGAAAGCGUGGGUAGCAAACAGGAUUAGAUACCCGUGUAGUC